UACGGAGGGGGCUAGCGUUGUUCGGAAUUACUGGGCGUAAAGCGCACGUAGGCGGCUUUGUAAGUUAGAGGUGAAAGCCCGGGGCUCAACUCCGGAAUUGCCUUUAAGACUGCAUCGCUAGAAUUGUGGAGAGGUAAGUGGAAUUCCGAGUGUAGAGGUGAAAUUCGUAGAUAUUCGGAAGAACACCAGUGGCGAAGGCGACUUACUGGACACAUAUUAACGCUGAGGUGCGAAAGCGUGGGGAGCAAACAGG
rnacentral:rRNA from 1 species